AGAUGCUUCUGGGUCGCGGUGUGCUGAGCUAGGAGUCCGAGUGUGUGAGCUUGAGAGCCGCGCGCUAGGGCGACCCGGCGAGGGAUGGCGGCCACCGGGACCGCGGCUGCCGCAGCCACGGGCAGGCUCCUGCUUCUGCUGCUGGUGGGGCUCACGGCGCCUGCCUCGGCGCUGGCCGGCUACAUCGAGGCUCUUGCAGCCAAUGCCGGAACAGGAUUUGCUGUUGCUGAGCCUCAAAUCGCAAUGUUUUGUGGGAAGUUAAAUAUGCAUGUGAACAUUCAGACCGGGAAAUGGGAACCUGAUCCAACAGGCACCAAGAGCUGCUUUGAAACAAAAGAAGAAGUUCUUCAGUACUGUCAGGAGGUAAGAGUGUUGAUGUAUCCAGAGCUACAGAUCACAAAUGUGAUGGAGGCAAACCAGCGGGUCAGUAUUGACAAUUGGUGCCGGAGGGACAAAAAGCAAUGCAAGAGUCGCUUUGUUACACCUUUCAAGUGUCUUGUGGGUGAAUUUGUAAGUGAUGUUCUGCUAGUUCCAGAAAAGUGCCAGUUUUUCCACAAAGAGCGGAUGGAGG
rnacentral:sRNA from 1 species